rnacentral:rRNA from 1 species
AUUGAACGCUGGCGGCAGGCCUAACACAUGCAAGUCGAACGGUAACAGGAAGAAGCUUGCUUCUUUGCUGACGAGUGGCGGACGGGUGAGUAAUGUCUGGGAAACUGCCUGUUGGAGGGGGAUAACUACUGGAAACGGUAGCUAAUAACGCAUAACGUCGCAAGACCUAAGAGGGGGACCUUCGGGCCUCUUGCCAUCGGAUGUGCCCAGAUGGGAUUAGCUAGUAGGUGGGGUAACGGCUCACCUAGGCGACGAUCCCUAGCUGGUCUGAGAGGAUGACCAGCCACACUGGAACUGAGACACGGUCCAGACUCCUACGGGAGGCAGCAGUGGGGAAUAUUGCACAAUGGGCGCAAGCCUGAUGCAGCCAUGCCGCGUGUAUGAAGAAGGCCUUCGGGUUGUAAAGUACUUUCAUCGGGGAGGAAGGGAGGAAAGUUAAUACCUUUGCUCAUUGACGUUACCCGCAGAAGAAGCACCGGCUAACUCCGUG